AGCGUCCCGCCCUCCUCCCGCGGAGUCAGUGGGUGAGGGUCGGGCUUGAAGCCAUAGCUGCGGGACCGUACUCGUCUCCCCCGACGCAGACCAUGGAGAGCGCGCUGGCGGUGCCCCGGCUGCCCCCGCAUGAUCCAGGGACGCCGGUGCUGUCGGUGGUGGACAUGCACACGGGCGGCGAGCCCUUGCGUAUCGUGCUGGCGGGGUGUCCGGAGGUGUCUGGGCCCACCCUGCUGGCCAAGCGGCGCUACAUGCGCCAGCACCUUGACCACGUGCGGCGACGGCUCAUGUUCGAGCCCCGAGGGCACCGGGACAUGUACGGGGCGGUCCUAGUCCCGAGCGAGCUGCCGGACGCGCAUCUGGGCGUCCUGUUCCUGCACAACGAGGGCUACAGCUCCAUGUGCGGCCACGCAGUGCUGGCGCUGGGCCGCUUCGCUUUGGACUUCGGGCUUGUGCCGGCGCCCCCUGCGGGCACCCGCGAGGCCCGCGUCAAUAUCCACUGCCCCUGCGGGCUGGUGACCGCCUUCGUGGCAUGCGAGGACGGCCGCAGCCACGGACCGGUGCGCUUCCACAGCGUCCCGGCCUUCGUGCUGGCCACAGGUAAUGGGCGGGACCUUUCCAGCCCAGGGCAGAGCUGCAACCGGGACGCGACUAACUACAUUAACGGUUUUUCUGGGCUGGAACUCUGGCAACUAACCUACUCCGCGAAACCUUGCAAUUAAUAGAAAGAUCUCAUGGUGGAUGUUCCUGGACAUGGAAAGGUGAUGGUGGACAUUGCAUAUGGCGGUGCAUUUUAUGCAUUUGUUACUGCUGAAAAGUUAGGACUAGACAUUUGUUCUGCAAAGACCAGGGACCUUGUGGAUGCAGCGAGUGCAGUGACAGAGGCAGUGAAAGCUCAGUUUAAAAUUAAUCAUCCUGAUAGUGAAGACCUUGCCUUUUUAUAUGGAACUAUAUUAACAGAUGGAAAAGAUGCUUAUACCAAGGAACCAACCACCAACAUUUGUGUUUUUGCAGAUGAACAGGUUGACAGAAGUCCCACUGGCUCAGGAGUGACAGCCCGAAUUGCCUUACAGUAUCACAAAGGGCUUCUGGAACUGAACCAGAUGAGAGCCUUCAAAAGCAGUGCAACUGGCUCAGUAUUCACAGGGAAAGCUGUGAGGGUAAGUGGCACCCUUAGCUUCUUAUUUAUAAAUGUGUCACUCAUGAGACUGGAGAGGCCUGAGUUGGGUGUUUGAUAAAUUUCUUCACUCAGCUCUCAGAAGAGAAUUUUAAAGCAGGCCUGUAAAAACUUCUUUUCAACUAGGACAUUGGUUAUCCAGUGUGGUCUUGGGGCCCCAGCGGGCCCCUAAGGUCCUUUCCAUGGGUUCAGAGGGUCAAAACUGUGUUCAUAAUAAUGACAUUAUUUGCUUUUCACUCUCAUUCUCUCAAGAGUGUACAGUGGGGUUCUUCAGAGGCUACGAUGUGAUAUGUGAUAACCCAACCAAUUGAAUGCAGAAGCUAGAUAUGAGAACCUAGUUGUCUUCUGUUAAGCCAGACAUGAAACAGGUUUGCAAAAAUAUCAAACAAUGCCACUUUUCUCAUAAUUUUUUUUGUUUUGGCAAACAGUUAUUUUCACAAAAAUGUGUUAUUCAUAUGUUAAUGUAUAAUGGGUUAUUUUUAAAAUGAAGUAAUGAACAGAUAUAUCCAAUUCCUAAUACAGUAAAUAUUGAUAGAUAUAACUUAUAUAAAGAAAAACUCUUUGGGGUCCUCAAAUCUUAAGGUAUAAAAGGGUCCUAAGACCAAAAGGUUUGAGAACCAUUAGGAUUUGGGGUUUUUUUUUGUUUUUUUGUUUUAUUUUAUAAUAGUGUUUUAUUUGAUAUAAUAGGAUGUGAAAGCCCUGAAAAGUUGUGGAACAUCAAAUUUUUGUAAUGGAAUAAAAUUUUAAAUGUGCUAACAGCUAAGUAAUGAAUCUUAUCUCAGUAGUAAAUGAAAUCUACUACAGAAUGAUCUACAUUCAGUAAAUUAUUCUACUCAUAAAGAGUCCUUUAACAUAGCAAACAAUCUAUCCUAAUAUAGCUGUUUUUAAGAUUUGGUGUUUCUGAAUAUUAGAGUUUCCUUAAGGAUCUCUACAUCAUAUAGUGAUCUGAAACAUGUGAAACCAUUUAUGUUGUAUGCAAAAAUUUGGAACAUACUGUCUUCAAAAUCUGAAAUGGAACAUAAAAAUAACAACAUACAUUUAUUGGAUACUUCACUGUGCAUCAGUUUCCAAGCUAAGCACUUGAUACAUGCCAUCUCAUUUAAUCCUCACAAGAAUCCUACAAGGUCAGUACUGUGCUGUUAUUAUCGUUUUUCAAUAGAUGAUAAAACGGAGAAUUGGAGAAGUUAGGUAAUUUACCAGAGGUUAGUUAGUGAGUAGCAGAUCCAGGUCAUGAAGGUGGGUCUCUGAACAGACCACAUGCUGUUAAGCAUUAUAUUAUAUUGCUGUCAGACAAAGCAAAAGGUCAAUGAGGCUUUAUAUUAUAGGAGCUGUUAUGAGAAGAAUCUGGGAUUGCAAUGUCCCCCCAAAUAGAGAGGGAGCCGAGAGACCAAAGAAUGACUCAGACAAGUCCAGGUUGGCAAGUAGAUGCAUUUAUUAGAACUUCCAUAUAAGGCACUCCUGGGAAGCAGCUGAACAACUGUGGAGACCCAUCCUGCCUCCUGACUCUAAGCUGCUUUUAAGCUAAUUUUCUGGCUCUUUGCCUACUGUGUAUGUGUGAUAGGACUGUUUUCCUUGGUAUGUUCCCAGAUAUUCUCUGGGAUAUUUGGGUUCUCAGGGAUACCUGCUUCUUGGCUGGGCACCAUGCCCUUGGCUUACCCCCCAGCCUUCAGGGUUCAAGCAGUGGACAUACACCCUUACAUAACCUGGUGAAGGACCUGUCACACUACAGCAGCUUUAUAAAAAGAUAUAAAAAGAUAAAGUAUUAUACCCUAACAAUAUUUGACAUUUUACCUUUAGCUUCAGUUAUUAUUCUUUUAAAAAUUAGAACAUAAAAAGAUAUGCUGAAGUUAAUGUUUCCAGUUACUUGUUUUAUAGUUAUUGAUCAUGCUUGCCAGAAUGUCUUCACUUGCAUCAUGCUCUCUCCCUGUCUGUGUGGGCCCGUCCAGGCUCCCUGAUGGUACCUUCUCAGUUUCUUCCCCUGCUGCAGCUUCCUUUCCCUGUCCUUCCAUUUAGAUGUUACCGUCACUUCAUCCCCACCUUCCUUCUCAUCUCUUCUACAGUUUGAUGCUGCUGGGCAAUUUCAUCCACUUCCUAGGCUUCAGUUCUCAACCAUCUACUGAUGAUGACUCCCAAAUGUUUAUCCCUGCCCUGACUACCUACCCUGUAUGUCUUUCUGAAUAUAACGCUCUUAAUCCCAACUGUUUAUUAUACUCAUCUCUAAAUGACUGUCCCAGAGGUGUCUCAAACUCACCUUGUUAAAAAGUUCUUCCUUUCUUCCUUUCUCAAAUGUGCUCUUCCUUUCUCUCCCCAUUGUGUUUAAUGGCAUCACUAGCAUCAUUUCCAAGCUAGAAACUAUGGUUAUAAUUAACUUAUUGCUAGUCCUCAAUUCCCACAUGCAUUGAUCAAGAGGCCUAUCAGUUCUACCUCCAAACUAUCUCUAUGUUAGUAUAUAUUCCCCUUCUCCAUCUUCACUGAAAACUCCCAUAGUGACUCUGGAAUCAAUCAUUCAGUGAAUUGAGGUUAUCUCUUAACAUGUUUCUGGGUCUCUUGUCUCUCUCUUCUCCAGUUUGAUCCCCACUUUACAGCUACAGUUAUCUAAAACACAAGUCUGACCAUGUCAUUCUCCUUAAAAACCUUCCCUGGCCCAUAGGAUUAACCCUUGGCCUUUCCUUCACAUGAUAAAAGUCAAGAGUACAGUUUUCAAGCCAGAUAUAAUACGAGUGCAAUAUUUUGAUAGUAUACUCCCUUCAUCUUUUUUCAGGAAGCGAAAUGUGGUGAUUUUAAAGCUGUUAUAGUGGAAGUAUCAGGACAAGCCCAUUACACGGGUACAGCAAGCUUUAUAAUAGAAGAUGACGACCCAUUGAGGGAUGGAUUUCUUCUCAAGUGACUUCUUCCAUGAUUUUAAGGGCUUUCUUUUUAAAGUAAUCAUUAUCCUUAAGGACUGUUUUCUCUAAAUUAUAUGAAAACAAAUAAAUUAUACAUAUAAACUAACUCUCAUUCUUUGUAAAAUACUACCCUGUGGCUAAAUAUAAAGUCAUUAUACCUCGUAUUUGCAACUGUAUUUGUAUAAAUAUCACUUAUGUCUAGCAUACAAAAUGCCAGAAAUUCAGAGUCUUUUUCUAGUGAUUAACGUAUCAGGUAAAAUUAAAACAGUAGUUACUUUUAAAA